GGACCAUGGUAGAGCUAAAAUACUGGUCAACAGAGCAUGGAGGAGGGGGAUGAGUUAAGAAGUCAGACACUGUGAGAUCUCUUUCUCCUUGGUAGGCAUGAGUAGCCCAUGGCUUUACACUCUUCCAUGGUGGCUCACUGGGAAAUGGUGAGACUGGGAUGGGCAAUUGGUGUCCUUGCCUGAAUCCCAUCCAUGCCAGUUUAUGGACUGCCAAGAUGCUGGUUUAUUUUAAUGUAAAUGUAGCCUCCCAUUCCCUAAAUGAAGAUCAACUUCAGCUUUCAGCCUUAAUGUCUUGAGAGAGAGACUUCUCUGUGAGAGUAAGUGUAGCGCCGUAAACUAUUUCCAGCUGGACUCCAUUUCCCACUUCAUCUGAAUGAGCCAAGUCCUCAUCCUGGAGCUUUUUAUGACAGUUUACACCAUGUUGCAUAAAUUGAGAAUCUCGUUGAAAUAAUCCCCUUCUAUCCUCACUGCUUCUACUCUUUAAAUAUCUGAUGAUGUUUGUCUUGUCUUCACUUAGUCCGUGAUUAGGAAAGCUGUACACACUUAGCAUCCUUAAUCUUUCUUCCUAAAUCAAUCCUUGAAACCAGCCCCUUAAUAUUGUUGUUACUCUGUUCUUCUCUGAACCUCUUCCAAAUUGCCUAUCUUUCUUGUAUUGAGCUGCCAGGCCUGAGUAAGCUGAAAGCACUGUUGUAAUGCAUACAGACUCGCUAAUGCACCCUUGCAGCAUGGUAAUACUUCGGCCCAGGUCUCCUAAGAUUGUCUUAUCUCCCUCCUCUCCCAUUUCUAUCUGUAGGUAUAAGCCAGAUUCUCUGCUCUCUGCUGACUCUAUUUUUUCGUGCAGGAUUAUUGCUUUUUAAUAAUCUCCCCAAUGUGUUAGAGAAUGGAAUGCAAAUGGGCAGGAGAAGAAAGCUCGGUACUGUAAAAGGAGGUGUGUGUUACUUCCUUCCCAGUCCUAAGAGUCAGUGCCCCUUAUCUCCUUCCCUGACAAUAACGGUAUUUUACAUGAAUCUCUCCCUUUAAGCUUCCCCACGAGCUUUCAUGUAAGAUCCUGACAGUCACUCCAUAAAACAGAGAGGCAACAUCUGAUGUCCCAUUUUAUAGGUGUUGCAACCUGAGGCUCAGAAAGACGGGAAGUCAACUGCUCAGGCCACUGUGUGUAACUUGAGCUUCUUCCCAUUUCAUAAAUCUGUUCUUAUGCUCCCUUCAUAAAUGAAACCUUAAAAUAAUUCCUGUAAUACCUGGGUAGACACAUUUCCAGUUUGGCAACCUUUUAUCAUCUCUUACUUGCCCUCUCGUUGCGGGAUUUCUGCACAGCUAUAAUAGACACGACUUAUUUAUAUGUUAUAAAUGCUAGGAUAAGUUACCAAGCAAGCUUUUAGGACAGUCUGUCAGCUUUAUUCUGGUAAGUUCUAAUGCAUGGCUGGUGAUAGUUUCAAGUCCGAAAAUAUCUAACUGCAAAACCCUGCUUUUUAUAUGAAGAACUGUUAGGGGUGGUGCCACAGUUUGAAAGUCCCCUCCAAAACUUUUGUUGAAACUGAAUCCCCCAUGUGGCAGUAUUGACAGGUGGGGCCUUGAAGAGGUGAUUGCAUCAUGAGGGUUCUGCCCUUGGGAAUGGAUUAAUCUAUUCAUAGGUUCAUGGAUGAAUGGGUUAACCUGGGAGUGGGUAUUGGUAGCUUUGUAAGAAGAGGAAGAGAGACCUGAGCCAGCACACUCAGCCCCCAAGUUGUGUGAUGCCCUGGGCCACCUCUGGAUUCUGCAGAGACCUCCCACCAGCAAGAAGGCCCUCAUCAGAUGUGGCCCCUUGACCUGGGACUUCUCAGCCUCCAUAACUGUAAGAAAUAAACUCCUUUUCUUUACAAGUGACUCAGUUUCAGAUAUUCUGUUAUAAGCGACAGAAAAUGGACCAAGACAGGUGGGAAGAAAGAGUGAAGAGCAGGGCAGCCCCAUCUGGCUGCACUGUUGAACACUGCAUAAGCCUGGGAGCAUCAUUCUCACAGACUCCGAUGUGAACGGCCACCCCUGCAGUUCUGUAGUGCACCUCUAUGUCAGAGACACCGGCAAGGGUGAGGGUGUACUGUGCAGCCUGCACAUCCACGUCAGGGACCCCGGCAGGGGCAAGAGUGCUCUGUACAGCCUGCAUCUCCAUGUCAGAGACCAUGGCAGGGGUGAGGGUGCUCUGUGCAGCCUGCACCUCCACAUCAGAGGCCCCAGCAGGGGCAAGGGUGUUCUGUGCAGCCUUCACCUCCAUGUCAGAGACCCUGGUGGGGGCGAGGGUGUUGCCAACUGCAGAAGCGGGGAGCUGUUGUGCCCAAUGGCUUCAUCACACCCCAUGCCUACAGGGAGGGGUUCAAGGUAGCCUUUGAGAUAAUUCCCAAACCAGCUUCCAUUCACACUUUAAGCCUUGCCUUCCUCCAUUUCCCACCCCAAACCUGUAGAAUUCCCAAAUCUCCUCCUUUGGCUCUGAACUUCCUUCUCUCCCCACCCAGUGCAGGCCCGUUCCUGAGACAUCUCCCCCACUCCGGAGCGAGCUGCUUCCUCCCCUGUGCCCUUACCUGUUUGCAAGCGCAUGAUUGCCUGACCACAUGGAUCAGUAGUGAAUUCCCAAUUGGGCUGUGAGUUCUGAGGGGACCGGGCUCUCGGUUCAGCUGCUUCUUUCCAGCCCUUUACACAGGUUGCGUGCAUGGCUGGCAAUCAGUUUGUUGAAUGAACGUUUGAAAAGACAACAUUCUCUAUUCUUCUUUCUUCUCUCUUAUCCGUGAUCCAGAUUCACAAAAUGCAUUCUUGGGGAAAUAAUGCAACGACCACAGGCUAUCACAAGAAAAGUUUGCUCAAAAAUGAUCCGUUCAAUUUAACAUGAAGUGUCUAAUAUAUGCCAAUUCUAUGUAAUUUUUUUUUAAAAACUUUUGUUCUUGCUUUCCAGGAAUUUGGAAAGGCAAGGUCAGCAUGCUCUACAGGAAAACUGGGUUGGCGAUAACCUUGUUGGUCAAUGGCACUGCCUGGAGACUUCCCAAGGGCUGCCAUUUUGUUAGGCUCAUUGAGAGAUACAGAAAAACAGGAGUAAAAGGUUUCACAAUUUUAAGCAUCCUAAGGAAGAAUGCUGCGCAAGGGGUUGGAUGAUGCCUCCCCAACCCCCCAAAAUUACUCCACUUGGAGCCCAUGAAUGGGACCUCAUUCGGACAAAAGGGUCUUUGCAGAUGUAAUUAAGGACCUCAAGAUGAAAUCCUCCUGGACUCAUCAGGUGGGCCCGAGACCCCCUGACACAGACAGAGACACAGGGAGAGUUCCAUGUGACAGUGGAGGCAGGGACUGGAGUGAUGUAUCUGUGCCCAAGGAACACCAAGGAUUGCCAGCAGCUCCCAGGAGGAGAUGGGAUGGAGCUGACGCUCUCUGGAGCCUUCAGAAGGAACCAAAUCUGAUACUGGAUUUCCGUCCUGCAGAACUGGGAGAAAAUGCAUUUCUGUUUGAAGUUACCAAGUUUGUGGUCAUUUGUGAGAGCAGCCCCAGGAGAUGAACACAGGGUGGCCCCAUGCCAGGACAGAGGGGCAAGAGGCUGGGGCUCUGUGCUCCUCCAGGGCUCACUCAGGCUCACUCUGAGCGUUCAGUGCAGUGUUUGGGGCACCCGGUGACCCUGGGUGUGAGGAGACGUGGUCUGUGCCUUCUGGCCCAUCGUCAUUUGCUCUGGGUGCUGAUAUCAACCAUAGGCAAUUUAAUUCUAGACUGGAAUGGAGCUGGGAAGGGCGCACCUUCCUGCCAAAAGCAAUUUCGUCCAAAGUCUGCACCUCGGUGGCUGAGCAUGGCGGGCCGGGAUGUUUUCACACUGCCACUCUAGAAACAGCGGAAAUGCAGACGCUUUCCUCCUUCACAAUUUUUGAUUGCUUUGACUUUUGGUGUGUCCGAGAGGCUGUAACUCAAAUAACCGUUCCCCACCUUUGGUUAGAUCCUAGAGUCUCUGGUACAUUGUCCGUCAACGGUGCUGCUUGGAGGCUUCCCAAAGGCCGCCAUUUUGGUAGGCUCAUUGAGAGAUACAGAAGAAAUAGGAGCAAACGGCUCCACAGUAGAGAUACAAGCAGCUUCUACCUUCAAAUUACUGUGGUUUUUAUUUGACCUGUUGGAAGUUCUGGGGUUUCUAUAAAGGAUAAAAACUCUCUUUGGGCAGGCACAGUUUAGAUCUGGAAAGUCCUGACUCCGGCCCCUUCAGUUUAUGGCCUGAGGAGCUUGAGGGCCUGAGGGCAGCCAGUGGCCGGAACACACGGGCUCUUUAGCUGAGGAGGGACUUGAACCCAGGUGUUCCGACGCGAGGACUCUCUCCCACCACAUACAGCACAGCACUGCUUGCGUUGUUUGGUUUUGUAUUGCUUUGGAAUUAGUCCAACUAUCAUCAUCGAUGUGAAUAAAUAGACAUGUAUCUUUUCAGUUUGCACAACUACAACCAUAAAUGAAUAUUUAUUAGUGUGAAGACACCCCCAGGUCCUGGAACACUCAACACAUGUAGAGCCAGGUGUAUUCAGGAGUCCAUGCAGCAGGAAGUGGAGCCAUCACAGGGUACGAAGGGAGGACAAGUGCAGUGUCGUGAGCACGUACAGAGGGAAGUUGACAGCGGGGAGAGGCUUUGCUGAGGAAGUGGCAUUUGGAAGAACGAGAAUGAGAUGGGGUUUUGCCGUGUUACCCAGGCUAGUCACGAACUCCUGUGCUCAAGCGAUCUGUCUGCCUCGGCCUCCCAAAGUGCUGGGAUUGCAGGCAUGAGCCACCGCGCCCAACCAGAAAGCCACUGCUUUAUAGACCACCACUUAAAUGCACCUGGCAGCUUAAUGUACGCGAGAACUUUCCUGCAGCUCCUUUAAAUUUAAGAAUCUUUUGGCAAAAUGAAGAAUACAAGCGUGUUUCUUCUUCAUAUGCUUUGUUUUAGGAACAUUAAAAAAUAUAGUUACUACAAUCAGAAAGCAGUUAUAUUUGUAUGUUUUGUAACAAAUACUGUGGCCUGAUAGAAUGAGCUUCUGACAAAGGCAUGUGCUUUCCAAGUGGGCCAAGUUCAAAAAUUGUCCGCAGAGUUGUCUCACUGGCUCAUCCAGCCAAUCAUUCAAAUAUUUAAAGGCCCUACUAAGGGCCAUGUUACUCAUUGUACAUCUUUAAGGAUGGGUGUAACUUACUUAUCUGUUUAUUUUCAAUUUCAGAAUACUUUAUAUUGACUCCUAAAAGUAUGGUGUAGUGUAUGUUUGUUUUGGGAGUUUCAAUACAAUCCCUAAAUUUAUGUAUCUCAAAUGUACAGGGACUGAUCAAAUUAGACAGUGCUAAUCUUCCUAAAACAGUGUCAAAAACAAGGGAAUCAAUCAUGAACACACUAAGCAUGAGCAUCGACUAUCACAAGACAUGGCUCAGUUUAUUUUUUCUUCCUUCUUACUACACUCGUAGAACAGAGCUCUUUUGUUUGCUUAUGACCUGGGCAAAUUUGCUGUAUGAUAAAAAAAAAUCAUGUAUGCAUUUGAUUCUCAUCCAGAUGCCCUUAGGAUAAGAGGUUCAUUUUCAUCUUCUGUUUUCCAAAUGAAGCUUUAAAUCUAAUUAGAUCUUGAAAGAAAAUAACUGCAAUAGGGUUUCUGUAAGUAAAGGGCCCUCAUUUAAAUAAUGCUCUUAUUUGUUUAUGUGAUUUACAGUAAGUGAUGAAACUCUUCGUGGCCAGCACGCCGCUCACUUCGGGGAUCCUUUGCACAGAGCACUUUGAGUUAGUUAUAAACCAUUCUACACACAGAAGCAUUUAAUUGUUAGAACAUUUCAUAGUGUAACAGCAUUUCUCAGUGCCUAGCAUGGGCCUUCUCCAUAUCGAAGGCCCAAUAAAUAUUUGUAGAAUAAAGGAAUUCACACCCAUCCAUUGCCCAGAUCAUAAUUGAGCAGCUCUUCUAUUAAAGUUUAGCCUUUUCAUGUUAAUUUAAAGUGGGGGAGUUUGAAGGGAGAAAUGCUAAUUUCAGACUCUAAAAAAGACAAGUCCCGUAUAGAACGAGGUCCCAGAGACUCUAAGACGUCUGUGUUGAUAGACGUAGGGCUGCAGGAAUUGAGAAGUGGUUGACGAGGGAGAGUCUGUUUCAGACCUGCUGUUUGCAGGUUGUUAUUUGUUCCACAGCUGUUUUUGAAGGAUGUUUCUACUCUUAAUGGAAUCAGGUACUUCACUAAG